rnacentral:rRNA from 1 species
AAUUUUGGACAAUGGGGGAAACCCUGACCCAGCCAUCCCGCGUGUAUGAUGAAGGCCUNCGGGUUNUNAAGUACUUUUGGCAGAGNAGAAAAGGUAUCCCCUAAUACGGGAUGCUGCUGACGGUAUCUGCAGAAUAAGCACCGGCUAACUCAGUGCCAGCAGCCGCGGUAAUACGUAGGGUGCAAGCGUUAAUCGGAAUUACUGGGCGUAAAGCGUGUGUAGGCGGUUCGGAAAGUAAGAUGUGAAAUCCCAAGGCUCAACCUUAGAACUGCAUUUUUAACUGCCGAGCUAGAGUUAGUAAGAGGGGGGUAGAAUUCCACGUGUAGCAGUGAAAUGCGUAGAUAUGUGGAGGAAUACCGAUGGCGAAGGCAGCCCCCUGGGAUAAUACUGACGCUCAGACACGAAAGCGUGGGGAGCAAACAGG